rnacentral:misc_RNA from 1 species
UCCGGCUUAUCACCGGCGGUUUCUUUAGAGUGCCCAACUAAAUGAUGGCAACUAAAGACGAGGGUUGCGCUCGUUGCGGGACUUAACCCAACAUCUCACGACACGAGCUGACGACAACCAUGCACCACCUGUGCAGGACCCUUACGGACCCGAUAUCUCUACCGGAUUUCCCUGCAUGUCAAACCCUGGUAAGGUUCUUCGCGUUGCAUCGAAUUAAUCCGCAUGCUCCGCCGCUUGUGCGGGCCCCCGUCAAUUCCUUUGAGUUUUAGCCUUGCGGCCGUACUCCCCAGGCGGGGCGCUUAAUGCGUUAGCUACGGCACGGAGACCGUGGAAAGUCCCCACACCUAGUUCCCAACGUUUACGGCGUGGACUAC